ACUGCACCUGGCUGUUGCGUCAGCGGACUCCAGUUCUAAUCCAAAGCCCGGAGGCGCUUAGAAAACCUGAGCGCCAGGUAACAGGAACCUGUAAAUAAGAAACUGACAUUCUCCAAAGGGGAGGGAGCAAGGACUUAACGGGAAAUGUAGUUUUUAUUUUGGUAUUGAACUUCGGGGCCCCUUUUGCGCGUGCGUACUUCAGCUCCGUAGGUGCAAGUUGUCUUUCCCCAGGCUACAGCCUCGCUUGGGAGGAGGCUCCGGGGCGGUGGAGUCUCUGCGAUCAUCCGGGGCCAGUGCAGCCCAACAAGGGAGCGGACUCAAAGAAGUAAUUGUGAAAUAUGUGUGGACUGAAUCCUUACUUGGUCCUUGUAUUUUGGAGAUCCUUGAUUCGUCUGAGCCCUUGAGUCAGGCAGCACACUUGAGGUUUCUGGACGGGACCUGCCCUUUGCAGCCUUUGUCUUUGGAGGCCUUCAUUUGAGUUUAUAGAUGGCCCAGCCCUUGGUUCUUGGAGAAGAGCCUCCCUGUCAUUUUGAGACAACACUUUACUGGGAUUAUUAGGAGAAUUAGACCCAGGAGGAUGAUUAAGCUUCCCUGCAGGAUUUUCCCUCAUCCAGAAACCCCAGGUGCCUGGCUUAAACCAACUGAAGAUGUCAAAGGGGCAUGUUUGCCUUUGCCGGGUAUGGGGACACGGACAGCAGAAUGAAACCAGGUGUUUGUGUUCCUGGGAGGGUGCCAUGAGCCAUUUUGAGACAAGAAGGGACAGCUCUUCCCUACAGAAGAAUUCCAAUGAAUAAAUAUGGAAGGAAUGAAGAAAAUAGAAAUAUUACCACUAGAACACCAUCGGAAUCAUUGUUGCAGGAAAGAUCCUUUAAUGGAGGCUCAGAUUAGGUUUGAGGAGAACAGGAUAUAUGCAUAGACUCAAAGUAUCUUCUCCCCAAAAUAUUUAAUUACAGAUGGAAAGAUAGUAAGUUCACAGAAGAGAAAUCCUGCAGACACCACCUUAACCAAGUGAUCAACAUUAACGUCUGUGGUCGUAAGACAUUGUGAUACAUACUGAUACAAAAUUGGUAUUCUUGCCAGAAAUGCCUCAUCUCAACCUAAUCGUGAGAAAGCAUCAGAUAAAUCUAAGAGACUUUCUACAAAAUAACUGACCAGUGCUGUUUGGAAGUGUCAAGGUCAUGGAAGACAAGAAAAGACAGGAACUGUCACAGUUUGGAGUGUGGAAUCCUGGAUUCGAUCUUGGGACAGAAAAAGGAUAUUAAUGAAAAAAUUGGUAACAUCUGAAUAAAGGCUAUAGUUUGGUUAAUAGCAUACCAUUGUUAAUUUCUUAAUUUUGAUAUUUACACUUUGUUAAUUAAGAUCUUAACAUUAGGAGAAGCUGGGUGAA
rnacentral:lncRNA from 1 species